UGAUUUUACAUAAAGGACCAGCAGGACUUCCCCAGUCAGGUCCACACUGAGUCCUGGUUUCUCUGGUUGUGUUCCUCCUCAGAGUCCAUCCAGCAGAGCUG